UGGUGGGAGACAGUGUCAGGCGGGCAGUUUGACUGGGGCGGUCGCCUCCUAAAAGGUAACGGAGGCGCUCAAAGGUUCCCUCAGAAUGGUUGGAAAUCAUUCAUAGAGUGUAAAGGCAUAAGGGAGCUUGACUGCGAGACCUACAAGUCGAGCAGGGUCGAAAGACGGACUUAGUGAUCCGGUGGUUCCGCAUGGAAGGGCCAUCGCUCAACGGAUAAAAGCUACCCCGGGGAUAACAGGCUUAUCUCCCCCAAGAGUUCACAUCGACGGGGAGGUUUGGCACCUCGAUGUCGGCUCAUCGCAUCCUGGGGCUGUAGUCGGUCCCAAGGGUUGGGCUGUUCGCCCAUUAAA
rnacentral:rRNA from 1 species